rnacentral:lncRNA from 1 species
GCCCUGCCGGUGCCAUCCUGCAGGACCGCCCGGCGCGGCCGAGUCUGGGCCGGCGGCGGCUGGGAAGCCAGGAGCGUUCUUAUCGGGCCUCGGACGACUUUACAAGCUAUUUCAAUGCCAUAAAAGUUUAUAGCCCUGCUUUAACUAGGGAGACUACAGUCGUGUACCGGAAACAAUUAGGGAAUAAAAUGAGGGAUAAUUAAAUGCCAAAAUUUGGGCCGCAGGUUUCACAAGUGCUGUAGGAAUUCGGGUGGAGGUUGACACUGCAAACGCACGUGAUCGCAGUCUUUCUGGCUAGGGGCAGAAACUGUGGCUUAUUCAUCCUUGUCUCACCUAUACCUUGCCCAAUGCCUGCUUCAGAAUAGACUCUGACUAUAAAAUAGGAUGAUACCUCCUUGGGUUAUGAUGAAGAUUAAGAAAGUUAAUAUAGGAAAACACUUUCUAAAGUUCCUAAUAUUCUGGAGGCUGGGAAGUCCAAGAUCAAGGCAGAUCCAGUGACUGGUAGCAGCUUUAUUAGUCUGUACUGGGGCACCAUAAUGCAGACAAGAAACACUUUGAAAUCUUUAAUGCUCCUGGUGAGAUGAGGAACAGCUCUGUGGCAUUGCCAGCGGCAGAGGAUAUCCAGUCCUUCCACAAAACAUACAACCAAAAACAAGGAAGGAAGAAAAGCCAAAGCCUAGGCAAGCUCACUGACGCCGCUCUCUGGCUGCCUUCCGUGUCCUCCUCUCCAACGGGUGUUCCGGCCCUUUCUCGUGCUGGAGUGGCCAGAUCUACGACUUCAGUUUGAACUUGGGGAGAAGUAGGUGGGAUCUCUGGCUUGCUUUGGCAUGAGACCCAGUUAGUAACAGAGUCCUUCCAGCUUUAAGCUCAGCUCAGUAGACCUCUCUCUGUGUUUGGGGAGACUCUCCAGGUAAUAAUAAAGGAUUAUUUUAC